rnacentral:pre_miRNA from 1 species
UAUAGAACAGAAAAUCUAACUGGAUUUCUUGGUGGAAACCUGAAAUCCAGUUUGCAAAAAAUUGUUGUCAAACUGGAUUUCAGGUUUCCACCAAGAAAUUCAGUUGGAUUUU